UUUGGAAGCACUUCCUAGGCUUAAUAAAAUAAUGUUCGAGAGUGGUGUGAUCGAUGAACUCUUGUAUCUUGAUCUGCCAUGUGAGCUUAUACAAUUUUCUGGAUUAAUGACUUUAGAAUAUGGCAAAGCAGUUCAAGAGAGUGUGUAUGAACAAUUCCGUGUUGUUCGUUAGGGUAAACUUUGCAUAAGUUUCUCUUCUGAUCUGAAGAUACUGUCUUGGGAAUUUUGUGCAUGGCAUCAUGAAGAACUUUUGCCUCGAAAUUUGGUCGCUCCUCAGAUCAAUAAGUUGGUCCAUACUGUUCAAAGCUAUCAAAGCUCUAUUGACUGUGGUGGAUGGGAUGGGGUUUCACCCCAUGACUUACAAGCAAAUUGCA